rnacentral:sRNA from 1 species
UACCUGACUUACUCCAAUCAUGACCUGU